rnacentral:rRNA from 1 species
UACGGGGGGGGCAAGCGUUGUUCGGAAUUACUGGGCGUAAAGGGCUCGUAGGCGGCCAACUAAGUCGGACGUGAAAUCCCUCGGCUUAACCGAGGAACUGCGUCCGAUACUGAAAGGCUUGAAUCCGGGAGAGGGAUGUGGAAUUCCAGGUGUAGCGGUGAAAUGCGUAGAUAUCUGGAGGAACACCGGUGGCGAAGGCGGCAUCCUGGACCGGCAUUGACGCUGAGGCGCGAAAGCUAGGGGAGCAAACGGG